UACGUAGGGGGCAAGCGUUUGUCCGGAAUCAUUGGGCGUAAAGAGCGUGUAGGCGCCAGAAAAGUCCGCUGUGAAAACUCGAGGCUCAACUUCGAGCUGUCGGUGGAAACUUUCUGGCUAGAGUCCGGAAGAGGAGAAUGGAAUUCCUGGUGUAGCGGUGAAAUGCGCAGAUAUCAGGAAGAACACCCGUGGCGAAGGCGGUUCUCUGGGACGGUACUGACGCUGGAGACGCGAAAAGCGUGGGGAGCGAACAGG
rnacentral:rRNA from 1 species